UUGCUACCCAGUAAUGAUACAUUGGAUGAGGCUCUCACCAUCGAGCCUGAUUUGAUAUCUGUCUUAAAAAACAUCACCAGCCGGCUUGACGGUGUAGUGCCUCCACGGUCCAACAGUGUGAAUGUCAUGAGGGAGUCUGUACUGGAGAGUGCCUUCAGAGCAUUCAGGAGGCCAAGGUUUUCUCCAGAUCAUCGCCUCAAUGUUGUGUUUGUUGACGUUGAUGGCACCACAGAGGGGGCUGUAGAUGACAGCGGCCCGAGCAGAGAAUUCCUCCGCCUGCUGGUCAUGGCAAUCAAAGACAGCAUGUACUUCACUGGACCAGAGGACAAGAAAAACGUGUCUUUGAUAUCCCGUGCUUUGGAUUCUGGAGAGUACAAAUAUAUUGGAGAAAUGCUCGCUUUUGCCAUUGUCCACGGAGGCAUCAGGCCGUCCUUUUUUUCAGAGCGUCUCUAAUGCAUGCUUGCCCAUUGUCCAACUCCACCAAUUAAGAUUGAGGAGGUGGAUGACAUGGAAAUUCAGGAGAAGUUGCAAAGGGUUGGAAGCGGAACUUCAGCAGUUUGGAAUUGCUGAGGCAAUAGCAAAGCAUCCGGAGGUAAUGAAACCUCUUUUUGUUGGAAGCCCCAAAGGUGUUGAUAUGGAAGACCUUCAGAACCUUUUCAUGACAUGAGACAUGAGAACCAGGCUUUCAUGUUCUGGAAAGACUGGCUCCUGGAGGUGGAUGAGGGAACUAGACCUGUGACCCUGCAACAAAUAUUAACAUUUGUCUCAGGG